GAUGAACGCUGGCGGCGUGCCUAAUACAUGCAAGUCGAGCGAACAGACGAGGAGCUUGCUCCUCUGACGUUAGCGGCGGACGGGUGAGUAACACGUGGAUAACCUACCUAUAAGACUGGGAUAACUUCGGGAAACCGGAGCUAAUACCGGAUAAUAUAUUGAACCGCAUGGUUCAAUAGUGAAAGACGGUUUUGCUGUCACUUAUAGAUGGAUCCGCGCCGCAUUAGCUAGUUGGUAAGGUAACGGCUUACCAAGGCAACGAUGCGUAGCCGACCUGAGAGGGUGAUCGGCCACACUGGAACUGAGACACGGUCCAGACUCCUACGGGAGGCAGCAGUAGGGAAUCUUCCGCAAUGGGCGAAAGCUUGACGGAGCAACACCGCGUGAGUGAUGAAGGUCUUCGGAUCGUAAAACUCUGUUAUUAGGGAAGAGCAAAUGUGUAAGUAACUAUGCACGUCUUGACGGUACCUAAUCAGAAAGCCACGGCUAACUACGUG
rnacentral:rRNA from 1 species